rnacentral:rRNA from 1 species
CGGAGGGUGCAAGCGUUAUCCGGAUUCACUGGGUUUAAAGGGUGCGUAGGCGGGCAGGUAAGUCCGUGGUGAAAUCCCCGAGCUUAACUCGGGAACUGCCAUGGAUACUAUUUGUCUUGAAUAUUGUGGAGGUAAGCGGAAUAUGUCAUGUAGCGGUGAAAUGCUUAGAUAUGACAUAGAACACCAAUUGCGAAGGCAGCUUGCUACACAGUUAUUGACGCUGAGGCACGAAAGCGUGGGGAUCAAACAGGAUUAGAUACCCUGGUAGUCCACGCCCUAAACGAUGAUUACUCGACAUCAGCGAUACACUGUUGGUGUCUGAGCGAAAGCAUUAAGUAAUCCACCUGGGAAGUACGACCGCAAGGUUG